rnacentral:rRNA from 1 species
ACAGGAUUAGAUACCCUGGUAGUCCACGCCGUAAACGGUGGGCACUAGUUGUGGGGACCUUCCACGGUCUCUGCGACGCAGCUAACGCAUUAAGUGCCCCGCCUGGGGAGUACGAUCGCAAGAUUAAAACUCAAAGGAAUUGACGGGGCCCCGCACAAGCAGCGGAGCAUGCGGCUUAAUUCGACGCAACGCGAAGAACCUUACCAAGGCUUGACAUAUACAGGAAUAUGGCAGAGAUGUCAUAGCCGCAAGGUCUGUAUACAGGUGGUGCAUGGUUGUCGUCAGCUCGUGUCGUGAGAUGUUGGGUUAAGUCCCGCAACGAGCGCAACCCUCGUUCUGUGUUGCCAGCAUUAAGUUGGGGACUCACAGGAGACUGCCGGGGUUAACUCGGAGGAAGGUGGGGAUGACGUCAAAUCAUCAUGCCCCUUAUGUCUUGGGCUGCACGCAUGCUACAAUGGCUGGUACAAACGGCUGCGAUACCGCAAGGUGGAGCGAAUCCGAUAAAGCCAGUCUCAGUUCGGAUUGGGGUCUGCAACUCGACCCCAUGAAGUCGGAGUUGCUAGUAAUCGUAGAUCAGCAACGCUACGGUGAAUACGUUCCCGGGGCUUGUACACACCGCCCGUCACGUCACGAAAGUCGGUAACACC